UACGGAGGGUGCGAGCGUUGUCCGGAAUUAUUGGGCGUAAAGGGCUCGUAGGCGGUUUGUCGCGUCGGGAGUGAAAACCUUGGGCUUAACUCAGGGCUUGCUUUCGAUACGGGCAGACUAGAGGUAUGCAGGGGAGAACGGAAUUCCUGGUGUAGCGGUGAAAUGCGCAGAUAUCAGGAGGAACACCGGUGGCGAAGGCGGUUCUCUGGGCAUGAUCUGACGCUGAGGAGCGAAAGUGUGGGGAGCAAACGGG
rnacentral:rRNA from 1 species